UUCCGGUUGAUCCUGCCGGACCCCACUGCUAUCGGGAUAGGACUAAGACAUGCUAGUCAAGCGCUUUCUAGCUAAUAUGAAAGUGCGGCAUACAGCUCAGUAACACGUGGCUAACCUGCCCUUGGGACGGAGACACCCCCGGGAAACUGGGGUUAAUUUCCGAUAGGUGAAAAAUUCUGGAAUGAAUUUUCGCUCAAAAGAGGUUUAUGUUAUGCUCAUAUUCUUCGCCCAGGGAUGGGGCCGCGACCGAUCAGGUUGUUGGUGAGGUAAUGGCUCACCAAGCCUUUUACCGGUACGGGCCGUGAGAGCGGGAGCCCGGAGAUGGGCACUGAGACAAGGGCCCAGGCCCUACGGGGCGCAGCAGUCGCGAAAACUUUGCAAUACACGAAAGUGUGACAAGGCUAUCCCGAGUGCCAUCCGCUGAGGAAGGCUUUUACCCAGUAUAAAUAGCUGGGAGAAUAAGGAGAGGGCAAGUCUGGUGUCAGCCGCCGCGGUAAUACCAGCUCUCCGAGUAGUGUGGAUGUUUAUUGGGCCUAAAGCAUCCGUAGCUUGCUAGGCAAGUCCCCUGUUAAAUCCACCGAUUCAAUCGAUGGUUUGCGGGGGAUACUGUUUGGCUAGGGGACGGGAGAGGUCGACGGUAUUUCCGGGGUAGGGGUGAAAUCCUAUAAUCCCAGGAGGACCACCAGUGGCGAAGGCUGUCGACUAGAACGCGCUCGACGGUGAGGGACGAAAGCUGGGGGAGCGAACCGGAUUAGAUACCCGGGUAGUCCCAGCCGUAAACGAUGCGGGCUAGGUGUUGGAAUGGCUACGUGCCAUUUCAGUGCCGCAGGGAAGCCAUUAAGCCCGCCGCCUGGGGAGUACGGCCGCAAGGCUGAAACUUAAAGGAAUUGGCGGGGGAGCACCACAAGCGGUGAAGCUUGCGGUUCAAUUGGAGUCAACGCCGG
rnacentral:rRNA from 1 species